rnacentral:rRNA from 1 species
CUUAUGCGUUGUUGGGUAGGGGAGCGUUCUGUAAGCCUGUGAAGGUGUGCUGUGAGGCAUGCUGGAGGUAUCAGAAGUGCGAAUGCUGACAUAAGUAACGAUAAAGCGGGUGAAAAGCCCGCUCGCCGGAAGACCAAGGGUUCCUGUCCAACGUUAAUCGGGGCAGGGUGAGUCGACCCCUAAGGCGAGGCCGAAAGGCGUAGUCGAUGGGAAACAGGUUAAUAUUCCUGUACUUGGUGUUACUGCGAAGGGGGGACGGAGAAGGCUAUGUUGGCCGGGCGACGGUUGUCCCGGUUUAAGCGUGUAGGCUGGUUUUCCAGGCAAAUCCGGAAAACCAAGGCUGAGGCGUGAUGACGAGGCACUACGGUGCUGAAGCGACAAAUGCCCUGCUUCCAGGAAAAGCCUCUAAGCAUCAGGUAACAUCAAAUCGUACCCCAAACCGACACAGGUGGUCAGGUAGAGAAUACCAAGGCGCUUGAGAGAACUCGGGUGAAGGAACUAGGCAAAAUGGUGCCGUAACUUCGGGAGAAGGCACGCUGAUAUGUAGGUGAAGCGACUUGCUCGUGGAGCUGAAAUCAGUCGAAGAUACCAGCUGGCUGCAACUGUUUAUUAAAAACACAGCACUGUGCAAACACGAAAGUGGACGUAUACGGUGUGACGCCUGCCCGGUGCCGGAAGGUUAAUUGAUGGGGUUAGCGGCAACGCGAAGCUCUUGAUCGAAGCCCCGGUAAACGGCGGCCGUAACUAUAACGGUCCUAAGGUAGCGAAAUUCCUUGUCGGGUAAGUUCCGACCUGCACGAAUGGCGUAAUGAUGGCCAGGCUGUCUCCACCCGAGACUCAGUGAAAUUGAACUCGCUGUGAAGAUGCAGUGUACCCGCGGCAAGACGGAAAGACCCCGUGAACCUUUACUAUAGCUUGACACUGAACAUUGAGCCUUGAUGUGUAGGAUAGGUGGGAGGCUUUGAAGUGUGGACGCCAGUCUGCAUGGAGCCGACCUUGAAAUACCACCCUUUAAUGUUUGAUGUUCUAACGUUGGCCCCUAAUCGGGGUUGCGGACAGUGUCUGGUGGGUAGUUUGACUGGGGCGGUCUCCUCCUAAAGAGUAACGGAGGAGCACGAAGGUUGGCUAAUCCUGGUCGGACAUCAGGAGGUUAGUGCAAUGGCAUAAGCCAGCUUGACUGCGAGCGUGACGGCGCGAGCAGGUGCGAAAGCAGGUCAUAGUGAUCCGGUGGUUCUGAAUGGAAGGGCCAUCGCUCAACGGAUAAAAGGUACUCCGGGGAUAACAGGCUGAUACCGCCCAAGAGUUCAUAUCGACGGCGGUGUUUGGCACCUCGAUGUCGGCUCAUCACAUCCUGGGGCUGAAGUAGGUCCCAAGGGUAUGGCUGUUCGCCAUUUAAAGUGGUACGCGAGCUGGGUUUAGAACGUCGUGAGACAGUUCGGUCCCUAUCUGCCGUG